GCGGGCGUGGCGGAAUGGCAGACGCGCCAGACUUAGGAUCUGGUGAGUUAUCUCGUAAGAGUUCAAGUCUCUUUGUCCGCACCA
rnacentral:tRNA from 1 species